rnacentral:rRNA from 1 species
GACGAACGCUGGCGGCGUGCCUAAUACAUGCAAGUUGAGCGCUGAAGGUUGGUACUUGUACCAACUGGAUGAGCAGCGAACGGGUGAGUAACGCGUGGGGAAUCUGCCUUUGAGCGGGGGACAACAUUUGGAAACGAAUGCUAAUACCGCAUAAAAACUUUAAACACAAGUUUUAAGUUUGAAAGAUGCAAUUGCAUCACUCAAAGAUGAUCCCGCGUUGUAUUAGCUAGUUGGUGAGGUAAAGGCUCACCAAGGCGAUGAUACAUAGCCGACCUUAGAGGGUGAUCGGCCACAUUGGGACUGAGACACGGCCCAAACUCCUACGGGAGGCAGCAGUAGGGAAUCUUCGGCAAUGGACGAAAGUCUGACCGAGCAACGCCGCGUGAGUGAAGAAGGUUUUCGGAUCGUAAAACUCUGUUGGUAGAGAAGAACGUUGGUGAGAGUGGAAAGCUCAUCAAGUGACGGUAACUACCCAGAAAGGGACGGCUAACUACGUG